GUUCCAAAUGAGUUGCAUAUUAUCUGUAGCAGCUGUUUGCUUUCCCAUUGUCUUGAAAUUCACCACAAAGGUGUUUUCAGAAGGAAAAUGUUAGGUGAAUUAUUCUAAUACUUGAUGGUCUGUCAGCAGUGACAGCAUCUGAUAUAUUCAGACAGUGACAGAUUCAGACGUGUCAGCGGGGCUGAGUUAGACAAUCUCUCGAGGCCCUCUUCCAACCUUAAUUAUUGUCUGAUUCUACGAUUGCUUGAAAUUCUAUCUCAUUCUGGUUGGUUUUGUGACUGAUGGCAGCUGCCACUUUGUACUGACUGAAAACCUGGAUCUUCUUUACUAGCUCAAGUUGCAUGUGUUUUAGUGAGCCAUACUUCUUCAAUAAACUGUAAUCACUUUGAAGUGGAAGAUGUUUCAAGCGAUACAGAGAACCAGCUGUCCACGACAAAAGAGAAACACUGUCUAAUCUAAACAGGCUGACGUAUCUUUCUGGAACUCGGUGGGCGUCACGCUGUUGGCAGUUCUGCAAGUGAACAUCAAAAGGCUCAGCCUCCAGCUGGUAUCACGGUGGCUUGGAAACAGCUCCCUAGAAGCUCUUACCAUCUUCAUGCCAGAUGUUUCACAGAACCUGAGCAGCUCAUGGAUCUUCAGUAAGAAAGAGCAGGAUCUUCUGGUAUGUUCUGUAAAAGUGCAAUAGCCAAUAUUUCUUUACACAAUGUAUGUAGUGUACAAUUUAUAAUGUACUCCAUUGCUUCACAGUCUUUAGCUUGUUGCCUUGUAGGAUAGUAACUAUGCUAGAUCAAUUAGUAAGCAGAAUGGUCUGCAGAUAAAUAACAGACACUGAAAUCUACUUUUCUGAGGGAUGUUUUUAAUCUGAAACUAGACAGUAACCUAUUUAAAAACUCAAAGUUAAAUCCUGCCCUGGCUUUUCACUGGGAGCAUCGAAUCUGCCAGAUUCAUUAUUUGCUGGCCAUUAAAUCUGCCACUUGAUUGUUCCUUGGGUUCAUUUCUGAGUUCCUAAAACUGAAGCUUGGCCCGCAUGACUCAAGAUACAACGAGGCUGCACAGAGCCAGGGAAAUUAGGGAGAUUAGCACCACCCUGUGUGUUUCAGUCUCUUACGGUGCCUUCCAAAUUGUCUGUUCCCAGUUUAGACCCAUUUAUGUAUUAUUUUCCACGCUGUAUUUCCUUUUAAUCCAAGCACUUUUGCAGUCACUACUCGCCACAGAUGUUUUUACUGGGCAGGGAGCAAGGUGAGGAGAGAACACAGACCAAAAAAAAACCAACCAUACUUUGGUGAUCAGAUUAGACUGAAAGAUAUUUAUUUAGAAACAACAGCUUUGGUAUUUUAAAACCAAACAAUCUUUAAAUCACUAGAAAGUGGGAUGUCUCCCCCCAUAGCCAAAACAAAUCAAUGCACAAAGUCUCAAUAUGCUCAGAAUAGGAAACCUGCAGAUCAGCAUUUCCAAGUGUAAAUCCAGAAAACAAUUUCCUUAAAUUGGUUUUGCACUCUGCAAUGAUAAAGGCUGAAAAACCUGCUACCAGCACGUAGAUAUCUACAGUUCAAUUGACUGACUUGUUACUGAAGUGGAAGCAAAAUUAACAUCCUCUCCCUCCCCCUGAGCAAUAAAUUAAAAAAAUGUAUA